rnacentral:misc_RNA from 1 species
GAAAAUAAUUAACAUCAGGUACCACGUCGGGGCAAAGGAGGGUUGAAUUGAAAUUUGUAUUUACAUUAUGUGCUGAAUGAUUUUAAAAUGAUUUAAGCAAAGACUCAUUAUCUGUUUUCAAUAUUGCAUCUAAGUAUAUGUGUCUCACUCCUUUUAUUCUUCUACUAUUUUAUUUUUCUCUGUCUUUCUACGUUACGAAAGUAUUUAUCACUUGCAAUAAACAGCAGCGAGCGAUUUAUUUUAUUAAUCACUGGACGCUCCGCUAUCGCUAGCAAUAAGACCGGAGCCUAACAUUGUUUGCCAAGCUACAAUUGUUUGUAUAAAAAUGUCCACUUUGAAUUCAUCGAGCCAGUCAGUAGCGUAACUACUACAAAAUGCGGUGGUUCAUCCUCCUGUGUGCGGCGGCGUUCCUCAACAAUGCGGACGCGCAGAAUCAAAUCUGGGAGUUAAACAGCAGCCUAUCCGACUUGUUCGUCGGACCAGACUCCGCCGUUCAUUGCCAGCUCACCAACCCUUCUGGAAACAUCGUCUUUGACGACUUCGGGCCGUGCAGGGUAAACAUCGACCGGGUGACGGAGCAACACAGUGGGCUGUGGACCAUGAGCAUAAUCCAGCAGAAUAAUGUGUUGGCUGUACGGCAGAGUUUUACUGCGCAGGUUACUUCUUCAGCCGCAGACUCCAAGCCCACGGUAUCAACAAGCGUGCAGCAAGAGAAGCCCGUAAUAAAGCUCCUCUGCUCCAUGGCAAAUGCUGAGCUGGUCACAGCCUGCGUGUUCAGAGAUCCGUCUGGGCGGGUGCUGCAAGCUCGCCAGGGUGUCUCUGAGGACCGAUACAGCUUCAUUGAAAGUUUAUCGGCCGGUGUGCAAAGCUGCGGUAUUGAGAUCAACGGACCCCUGGUUUCUGACCUGGGUUUGUGGCGCUGCGACCUCCAAACCACUGCAGACACCUACUUCGGACAUCUCACCGUUUUAUGUCCCUGGGCCAUGCAAGAUCCGGAAAUUGCGGCGGCUGUCAUAUCAGUUCCCACUCUGACCAGUCAGACCAAGGAUCAGGUGGUGAGUGAGGGAGACAGCGUGACGAUGUCCUGCUCCAUCCAGACCGCCAUACGCUACUGCUAUUUCCGAGCGAGGAACGGAACCAUCUUCAAUGUAAGGCCUGGUAUGACCUCCUCCUCCGUGGAGUAUGUAGGAGCCGGUCUGGGGGCAGGAGAGUGUGGCAUCCGCUUUCCUUCACUCUUCGCGUCUGACAGUGGAACCUGGAGCUGUCACGUCGGCUUCGCAGACUCCAGCGAGGAACAGCGCGUGCAGUUCUCCAUUCAAGUGCAAGAACCGAUAUCUGCCAGCCAGUUCGUUGAAUGCAACGAGUUGGUGAUAGCAGGAGUAGUUAACGGACACCCCGCCCUCGACUACUGCAGGUUCGUCCGCAUAGACGGACUAGGAUUCACUUCUGAGAACGUGCCAGCCGGUUACACCGACAGCAGUUCUCUCAGCCAGGGUCACUGCAAGAUCCGCAUGGCAAUGCCUACGAUUCUGGAGCAUCACGCAUGGACCGUAGUGGCCAAGGUUCGAAGCCAGGACAACGAGCUCAGUCAGUCCACUGACCAUACUAUUGAGAUGCCCCCACCAGAUGGCCCCGUGACCUGGUGGAUAUACGUGAUGAUAGUCUUGACACUAGUGGCGUUAGUGGGCGCGUUUGCCUUCAAACGCAACAGGCGCUGGGCAUCAGAGACCGCUACCGGCAUUCGCGACAGCUUCAGAAAGAACAAAUACCCUGAGCAGGAGAAACCGCCUCUACCAGCUUAAUGUACACCUACUUACCUACAGCUUAACCAUAUCCAUAUAUUAUGUAUACGUGAUGCUAGGAGUAGCACUGAUAGCGUUAGUGAUGGGCGCGUUUGCCUUCAAACGCAACAGGCGCUGGGCAUUCGGGGCAGCUUCAGGAAGAAGAAAUACCCUGAGCAGGAGAAACCGCCUCUACCAGCUUAAUGUACACCUACUUACCUACAGCUUAACCAUAUCCAUAUAAGUAUACGUGAUGCUAGGAGUAGCACUGGUAGCGUUAGUGAUGGGCGCGUUUGCCUUCAAACGCAACAGGCGCUGGGCAUUCGGGGCAGCUUCAGGAAGAAGAAAUACCCUGGGCAGGAGAAGCCGCCGCUACCAAAUAAACUUACAUACCAAUGUCUAUGGUAUGACAAAUGAAAAAUCUUCGUCACACCAACUGAAGACUGUACUACAGUCAUAUUGUUGGAAUCAGGAACUUGAAAUUGAUGACGAUUUCGGGUGAGUAAUUGUAUAUACAUAUGUCGGUAAUUAAAGGUAAUACAAUUAUUUACUGAAGUGCUUUUAAAGCGAUAACACUUGAGGGAAAACUCAAUUGUUUAAUACCUAAGGUACAACGGGGCAAAUCUCAACUAGGGGGCAAUUGUAACUAGUCCAUUUUUUCCGCAUUAUUACACUAUGAUGUUGAGUUCUAC